AUGCUAAGUAUCGAUGUUUAGCAGUAUCGCAACGUCCCUAAAUGAGUUGUCAAAAAAAUCGGUUUAUUCGCGUUGAAAGAGAUUUCGAAGGCUGUUCGCAGCUACGUGAACUCUCAAACCAAACAAAUAUCAGCAACACCGUCAACGCCAAUAGUUAAAGGAAAGCUGAACCAAAGCAAAGGUGUAGACGAUAAAGGGGGGCAUGAACAGUUUACGCAUUAAUGCUUGAGCAACAUAUCAAAAGGUCGUAACACCGAGACAGAAAAAAGGAAUAACUUUGAUAAAAGUUUGUAUGCAAGUUAUGACGUUUGUAACUUACACUCAAAAAAAUGUUAAAAAUAACACUAUUAUUCUUAUCAUUAA